GACGAACGCUGGCGGCGUGCCUAAUACAUGCAAGUAGAACGCUGAAGGAGGAGCUUGCUUCUCUGGAUGAGUUGCGAACGGGUGAGUAACGCGUAGGUAACCUGCCUGGUAGCGGGGGAUAACUAUUGGAAACGAUAGCUAAUACCGCAUAAGAGUAGAUGUUGCAUGACAUUUGCUUAAAAGGUGCAAUUGCAUCACUACCAGAUGGACCUGCGUUGUAUUAGCUAGUUGGUGAGGUAACGGCUCACCAAGGCGACGAUACAUAGCCGACCUGAGAGGGUGAUCGGCCACACUGGGACUGAGACACGGCCCAGACUCCUACGGGAGGCAGCAGUAGGGAAUCUUCGGCAAUGGACGGAAGUCUGACCGAGCAACGCCGCGUGAGUGAAGAAGGUUUUCGGAUCGUAAAGCUCUGUUGUAAGAGAAGAACGAGUGUGAGAGUGGAAAGUUCACACNGNGACGG
rnacentral:rRNA from 1 species